rnacentral:rRNA from 1 species
UACGAGGGGGCGAGCGUUGUUCGGAAUUAUUGGGCGUAAAGCGCGCGCAGGCGGCUCUUUAAGUCUGGUGUUUAAUCCCGAGGCUCAACUUCGGGUCGCACUGGAAACUGGGGAGCUUGAGUGCAGAAGAGGAGAGUGGAAUUCCACGUGUAGCGGUGAAAUGCGUAGAGAUGUGGAGGAACACCAGUGGCGAAGGCGACUCUCUGGGCUGUAACUGACGCUGAGGCGCGAAAGCGUGGGGAGCAAACAGG